rnacentral:lncRNA from 1 species
AGAAGGUGUUCCUGGCAUAGUGCAUGAUGCUGUCAAAGUCAUAUGGUUCCCCAAGGGAAUUCACCUCUCCAGGCUCCAUCUUCAAGAAGUUGUAUUCCUGACCUGGUUGGAUAUUUUCUCUAAUGAUGGUGACAUGGUCAUCUCGGUCUGGUCGUGUAUGUUCAUGCCAAAAACCUAUCACAUGACCCAGUUCAUGGACAACUAUACCAAAUUUAUCACAGUUCUUGCCAAUAGAUAUAGCUUGAGGACCAUUUCCCCUUCGACCUACAUAA